UACGAAGGGGGCUAGCGUUGCUCGGAAUCACUGGGCGUAAAGGGUGCGUAGGCGGGUCUUUAAGUCAGGGGUGAAAUCCUGGAGCUCAACUCCAGAACUGCCUUUGAUACUAAAGAUCUUGAGUUCGGGAGAGGUGAGUGGAACUGCGAGUGUAGAGGUGAAAUUCGUAGAUAUUCGCAAGAACACCAGUGGCGAAGGCGGCUCACUGGCCCGGUACUGACGCUGAGGUGCGAAAGCGUGGGGAGCAAACAGG
rnacentral:rRNA from 1 species